rnacentral:rRNA from 1 species
CCUACGGGAGGCAGCAGUGAGGAAUAUUGGUCAAUGGACGAGAGUCUGAACCAGCCAAGUAGCGUGAAGGAUGACUGCCCUAUGGGUUGUAAACUUCUUUUAUAUGGGAAUAAAAUGUUCCACGUGUGGGAUUUUGUAUGUACCAUAUGAAUAAGGAUCGGCUAACUCCGUGCCAGCAGCCGCGGUAAUACGGAGGAUCCGAGCGUUAUCCGGAUUUAUUGGGUUUAAAGGGAGCGUAGGUGGAUUGUUAAGUCAGUUGUGAAAGUGUGCGGCUCAACCGUAAAAUUGCAGUUGAAACUGGCAGUCUUGAGUACAGUAGAGGUGGGCGGAAUGCGUGGUGUAGCGGUGAAAUGCUUAGAUAUCACGCAGAACUCCGAUUGCGAAGGCAGCUUACUGGACUGCAACUGACACUGAGGCUCGAAAGUGUGGGUAUCAAACAGGAUUAGAUACCCUUGUAGUG